rnacentral:rRNA from 1 species
UACGUAGGUGGCAAGCGUUGUCCGGAUUUACUGGGCGUAAAGGAUGCGUAGGCGGACAUUUAAGUCAGAUGUGAAAUACCCGAGCUUAACUUGGGUGCUGCAUUUGAAACUGGGUGUCUAGAGUGCAGGAGAGGUAAGUGGAAUUCCUAGUGUAGCGGUGAAAUGCGUAGAGAUUAGGAAGACACCAGUGGCGAAGGCGACUUACUGGACUGUAACUGACGCUGAGGCAUGAAAGCGUGGGGAGCAAACAGG